rnacentral:rRNA from 1 species
AACGAACGCUGGCGGCAUGCCUAACACAUGCAAGUCGAACGAGACCUUCGGGUCUAGUGGCGCACGGGUGCGUAACGCGUGGGAACCUGCCCUUAGGUUCGGAAUAACUCCCCGAAAGGGGUGCUAAUACCGGUUAAUGUCUUCGGACCAAAGAUUUAUCGCCUUUGGAUGGGCCCGCGUUGGAUUAGCUAGUUGGUAGGGUAAAAGCCUACCAAGGCGACGAUCCAGAGCUGGUCUGGGAGGAUGAUCAGCCACACUGGGACUGAGACACGGCCCAGACUGCGACGGGAAGCAGCAGUGGGGAAUAUUGGACAAGGGGCGAAAGCCUGAUCCAGCAAUGCCGCGUGAGUGAUGAAGGCCUUAGGGUUGUAAAGCUCUUUUACCCGGGAUGAUAAUGACAGUACCGGGAGAAUAAGCUCCGGCUAACUCCGUG